rnacentral:lncRNA from 1 species
GCACUGAGUACAGUUGUUGGACCUACUGCUGAACUAUUUCUGGAACAUCAUUUCUGAAAUGGAAUCCCAUUUUUUAGCGAAAUACCUGGAAAAGACAGUAUUAGUGUGUCAUUUUUUCUGUUCACAUGGCCGCUGGCUCCUGUGCUUUCCUCGCUAAACUGAUGUAAUUAAACAGGAUUGUUCGUUUUCCUCCCUGCAGUGCUUCAGCCCUGAAAAGUUUCUUCAAAGCAACUCUCAGACUGUAACUUGUGCAGCUUUGCAGAGCAGAGCUCGCACUGUACUUCAAAGCGGAGAAAACCGUGCAGCUGUUUGGAGCCCGCUUGCCCCAGGAGGUGUCACUGUUGGGACUAGCAGGGUGAGCUCCAGAGCUGCUGUUUAUUUUUUAAAGACUACAUUGACCAUGAGGACUGUACGUAGUUUACAUUCCCAUCUGAUACGUGAAGAAUAUGUUUUUUUGUCAAGGGCUCCUAAAGCUAUUAAACCUUACAGGUAAGUCAUGCAGAUACCCUUACUAAAACCAACACGGCUAUAGGAUUUGGCUAGAACUUGUUUUCAAGAGCACUUAUGUUAUUUA